rnacentral:rRNA from 1 species
GAUGAACGCUGGCGGCGUGCCUAAUACAUGCAAGUCGAGCGAACGGACGAGAAGCUUGCUUCUCUGAUGUUAGCGGCGGACGGGUGAGUAACACGUGGAUAACCUACCUAUAAGACUGGGAUAACUUCGGGAAACCGGAGCUAAUACCGGAUAAUAUUUUGAACCGCAUGGUUCAAAAGUGAAAGACGGUCUUGCUGUCACUUAUAGAUGGAUCCGCGCUGCAUUAGCUAGUUGGUAAGGUAACGGCUUACCAAGGCAACGAUGCAUAGCCGACCUGAGAGGGUGAACGGCCACACUUGAACUGAGACACGGUCCAGACUCCUACGGGAGGCAGCAGUAGGGAAUCUUCCGCAAUGGGCGAAAGCCUGACGGAGCAACGCCGCGUGAGUGAUGAAGGUCUUCGGAUCGUAAUACUCUGUUAUUAGGGAAGAACAUAUGUGUAAGUAACUGUGAACAUCUUGACGGUACCUAAUCAGAAAGCCACGGCUAACUACGUG